GAUAAAUAUAGAGAUGGAAUAAAAAUAUUAAAAUACUCUUAGUUAUUAAAAAAAUAUUUUUAAAAUUUCAGUUUCUAUGUUCAAAAAAUUUAUUUUCUUUUGUUCCUAUUUUUUAAAGAUAUCAAAGGAACCGAAAUUUUGUAUUACAAAACUUAAAUUUUAGGUAUCCUUAAUCAAUAAAGAUAAUACUAAAUCUCAAUUUUCUAAUUUUAAUUUUAAUAUCUGAAAAUAAACACUACCUAAAAGAUCAUAGAAUUGAAAUAGAAGACAACUCAGGACAUCGACAUAGGUGGUAAAAGAAUUCUACGUAUAUUUUCAAUUCAAUUUUAUUGAAAAGUUCUAUAUUAUAGUAUAUACAUACUUUCAUCAUAAUGAUUUUCAGUCAAUCAAAAUUAAAUUUGAUUAAUGAUCAUUAUUACCUUAAAAUCAAACCAUCUCAAAGAUAUUUUUUCAUUUCUAGACAACUAAUUUUGUACAUUUAAUUAUAUUCUGUGUCAACUUCUCCUUCAUUACUAUUUUUGAAUUUUAAUGUGGCCUCCAGUUGAAUACCUGAACUAUUAGGCUACCUUUGGAUUAUUAAUGAUAAAUAAGAUAUUAGAGUGGAAUAGAUUUUAAGGAAGUAGAAUGGAGCCCAAACAUAAAUAUAAAAUAGAAUAUAGGGGAAACUAGAAGACAUAGUGUCAACUGCGGGAUGACACCAAGAAUUUUUGAGAACUUAUUUUCAAGGAUCCAAAAGGUAAUAUUUAUUGAAGGUUUAGAUGUCAUAGGCUAAACUUAUGCUUCAUCUGUAGGUUGGACGAAUAUCAUGUGAUGAAUAUUGUUUCUAUGUUAUGGCUAUAGGGUUCUAUUUGAAAGAUAAAUAUUCUUGCUGAGAUAGUCAUCUUUUAAAAAAUCUUCUUUUACAUGUAUAUUUUUUUAUCACCUUUUAUUGAAUUCUGUUAUUUUUUUAUCAAACAAUUAUGCAAUAAUCAUUAAAUCAUCCACUUAUUGUUGAUCUUGUCAGUUCUAUAUUUGAACUUUUGAUAUUUUAUUUGGAUUGAUUAAGGACAUCCAUAUUUUUGAAUGACUAAUAAACAAUAUAUUGAUAUAAUUCUUAUGUUGCAGUAUGACCAUUCAUACAUUUAUGGUAGCAAGGAUCUAAUUUUAGUCUGUAUUUCUCUAAUGAACCAGGAAAAAAAGGUUUGGAGAGAUGAAAAAUUAAAAUUUACGUGCAAAAAUUCUUUCUUGGAGAUUUACAAUGAACAGAUUCUUGAUCUUUUGGACUCAUCAUCUAACAAUCUACAAGUAUUGCUAACCAUUCAUAAAGAAAUAGCAUCUCCUUAAUUUUUAAAUCGUCUCUUUUAUUUUCAAAAUACCUUUUCUCUUUUUGUUCUGUUCCCAAAGUAUCUUUUUUGUAGCAAAGUCGAUUUUCAUAUCAUUGGAGGUUCCUCUGAGCCUAAGAAGAUAAUAAAUACAAAAAAAAUUGCAUGGAUAUGACCUACUAUUUCAGUGUUUCUCUGAAUAUUUUUGAAAGAGUUUUAAUACAUCUAUUGAAUCUUAUUCAUCUAAAACUACGUGGCAGAUAAGAGAAGACAUUAAAAAAGGAGUUUAUAUGGAAAACAUCAAGGAAGUUGAACUCACUAAUCCUCGAGAUGCCAUCAGCAACUUAUUCAUGUUUGUGUUAAUCUGGAACAUUAUUAACAUUAGCAGUAUUGAUUUUUACUUGGUAUUUUCAGAAACAUUUAGUGUUUCGUAGUAAGUACCUACUAUGCUAUUCCAAAAUCUUCACAAUUCUUUCUAGAUUUGUUCAAUGAUUUUUGCACAUGGAAUCCUAUUCGUUAAUAGCCAUGAAUGAAAAUAACGAUAAUCUGAUAUUAUUUAGGGCACUGCAAAUAGAAAGGUGGCUGCUACAAAUAUGAAUUAUGUUAGCAGUCAUUCUCACAGUGUAUUUACUUGCAACAUUGAGUGUUAGGUGACUAAUAUUGAUGCUUUACAUUUUUUCUUAUUAGAUAUUUAUGUAAAACAGAAAAAAAGAAACUUAUUUAUUUAUGUUCUUUAACAAUAUUCUAAAAGCUUAAUUAACAUGUCCGUAGUGGGAAUCUCAAGGAGUGACUCUCUUUCGAUUUACUAGACUUAACCUUGUUGAUUUGGCUGGAUCAAAGAGGUAGAAAAGUUCUGGUGCUAAAGGGGAGCGCCUCAAGGAAGCUACUAAUAUCAAUAAGUCUCUUUCAACCUUGGGGCUUGUGAUUAUGAACUUAGUAACUAUAUCGAAUGGGAAGUCGCUACAUGUUCUGUACCGUGAUUCACAGCUUACUUUUUUACUUCAAGUCAGUGGUGGAUCUUUCUAGCUUUACAUUACUUUGGUGGUGGAUCAUAGUUCCAAAUUAGAUUCACGUGUGUGUAUAUUAGAGGCAAAGCAUAUAUAUUACAAAAAUAAAAAGCAAAUAGUUCUUGUACAACUAGCUUUGAUUUGAAGUCCAGAAAGUAACUCUGUGAUUGAACAAUAAUAGAUUCUCUAUGGUAAAGCUUCUAUAUUCCCGAAUAUAUAGUGUGCAAUGGCUUGAUGAGAAAAAAAAGUUCCAGGACACAAAAUUGGGAGAUCAAUGUACAUAUGGAUAGAAGGUGUUACGUGGUCCGUGAGUGAGAAAUACAUAAUAGCAUGUGACUCAAUGACAAUAUUCAUAGAGCCUCAAUACUUUGACUUCUUCACAAGAAACAUAGUACCUUUGCAGCAUUACUGGCCUAUCAACACCACCAACAUGUGUGAGGACAUCAAAUUGAAAAAUGUGUAUGAUUACAUAUUGCAUCUACUAAAAUAAUAUGGUAAACUCCAAAAAUUCAAACCCAGAAUACCUGAAGGAGCGAAAGAGAUGUGCUCUGAGAGGAAGGGAUGUCGCUUGCACAACGGUCCAAGAAAGAGAUACAUGGAUGAAUCCAUUGUUAAGUCACCAAGUUCCACACUUCCAUGUAUGAAAUAUUGCUUGUGUUAGAUGGAAUGUUGUAUGAAUCCAUUGAAAACAUUGAUAUGGUUAAACAUUGAAAACAUCAGUACACUUUGUUUAUGUUUUGAA